rnacentral:rRNA from 1 species
GAUGAACGCUGGCGGCGUGCUUAACACAUGCAAGUCGAACGGAAAGGCCCAAGCUUGCUUGGGUACUCGAGUGGCGAACGGGUGAGUAACACGUGGGUGAUCUGCCCUGCACUUCGGGAUAAGCCUGGGAAACUGGGUCUAAUACCGGAUAGGACCACAUUUUGGAUGGUGUGGUGGAAAGUUUUUCGGUGUGGGAUGAGCUCGCGGCCUAUCAGCUUGUUGGUGGGGUAAUGGCCUACCAAGGCGUCGACGGGUAGCCGGCCUGAGAGGGUGUACGGCCACAUUGGGACUGAGGUACGGCCCAGACUCCUACGGGAGGCAGCAGGGGGGAAUAUUGCACAAUGGGCGCAAGCCUGAUGCAGCGACGCCGCGUGGGGGAUGACGGCCUUCGGGUUGUAAACUCCUUUCGCUAGGGACGAAGCGUUAUGUGACGGUACCUGGAGAAGAAGCACCGGCUAACUACGUG